rnacentral:rRNA from 1 species
AGUGAACGCUGGCGGCGUGCUUAACACAUGCAAGUCGAACGAGAACGGAUCAUAGCUUGCUAUAAUUGUCAGCUAAGUGGCGCACGGGUGAGUAAUGUAUAGGUAAUAUGCCUCUUACUAAGGGAUAACAAAUGGAAACGUUUGCUAAUACCUUAUACUCCUUAUUAACAGAAGUUAAUAAGGGAAAGAUUUAUUGGUAAGAGAUUAGCCUGUAUUGUAUCAGUUAGUUGGUGGGGUAAUGGCUUACCAAGACUAUGACACAUAACUGGUUUGAGAGGAUGAUCAGUCACACUGGAACUGAGACACGGCCCAGACUCCUACGGGAGGCAGCAGUGGGGAAUAUUGCACAAUGGACGAAAGUCUGAUGCAGCAACGCCGCGUAGAGGAUGACACAUUUCGGUGCGUAAACUCCUUUUAUAUGAGAAGAUAAUGACGGUAUUAUAUGAAUAAGCACUGGCUAACUCCGUGCCAGCAGCCGCAGUAA